GGUGCAGAGCUCAGCAGCCGCUUCCUCUUAGCCUGCAGCACCCGCCAGGGACGCUGUUAUCGCUUGGACAAGACCGUCCCUGGCGUGUGCUGCAGGCUCAGAGGAAGCGGCUGCUGAGCUCUGCACC
rnacentral:pre_miRNA from 1 species